UUGUUUCUAAAUUUAAGCUUAGACCCCACACACACAUAUACAGAGAGAGAAAGAGAGGGAGAGAGAAAGAGUGCACGAAUGGGCGAUAUUCUGGGUUAUACAAUUCGCGGCUGAGGUCGCCAAUGAUCCAUGCCAUUUCGCAUACAUUUAACAGCUUUGCCAAUUUGUUUAGAUUGAAUUAAAAUUACAAUUUGGUUGACAUUUCGCGCGGCAAUUUGUUUGAUACGAAUUAACCUUUCUGAAUGAUGCAACGUUCAAGGUUAUUUGCUAAGUAAAAAAAAAAUAAAAAAAUAGAAAUAAAUAAAAUUUUAUUGUCUACAUUAUUCCAGUUUAAUGUUGAUUUUAGAUUUGUUUGUUGAACGAGCUUUAGUUUAGUUGAAGUGCCAGCACAUGUAGAUUUUUAUUUAUUUAUUUUAUUUUAAGAUAUUCACAAAAGAAAGAAACACUAUUAAAAUAUAUUAUAUAAUUGUUGGGAAUCUUAAAAAUAAAUAUAGUAGUAAAUGUGGGAGCUCUGCUGUAAGAUGGCCUGAAAGCAAGUAUUUAAUUAAUUUCAUGGAAGAACACAUGGUAAUAUGUAUAUUUUGUGACCAUUUCAUUAACGUGAAAUUCGCUAUGCAAUGAUUAAUCCGAUGAGUAGAAAGGUUGCUCCGUAAGGAACAGAGAAAUUAAGUUAACAAGCGGGGCGAAUCAAUAUUAUCAAUAAUCAACAUAUGCAGAAAAAAACAUUGCUCAGAAUUGUGCUACGAUUGAGUAAUGAUGAAGGAUCUAUAAGGAAACCUCUACUAUGGUAAGAUGCAAAAUGGAGAUUAGGACCCCAGUUUAGAUGACGCAGCGCGAAGAGGAGAAACUGUUUUUGGACCGAUUCGAUGCGAUCCUUAUGCGACUUAAGCUGGGGAGACCAAUAUUUUGAAACAUGAAAGUUUAGUAAUAAAGGGGUGUUUAAACUCCUUUAAUAAAGCCUUUAGUCUAAAUGCCAAAUCAGGGUAUAAAGUCUUUGUGAAAAUUAAAAAAAAAAAAAAAAAAACAAAAUGUAUAAAAAAAACAAAAAACCAAACUGGUACUCGAACCAACAACCUAUAUGUUCGCGAAAAUACGGCGCCUCUACUAACAACGCCACUUCCUAAUUUAAAAUAAUAAUAAAAAACAAUUUCGCUCUCACCCGCCUGGGGGUUUGAACCUGGGACAAUUACGGCGUCGCGCACCGCAUCUACCAACAGCGCCAUUCCAGACAGAUGAGAAAAUGUAAUAGUAUCCUUUAUAUAGGCACUGUAUUUAGGAUUUGCAACUAGUAAUUAAAUUUUCAGUGCAACUCUGAAACACAGAGUUGCAUGAUAUUAGACUAUCGAAGUAAGCCUUCGUUGCCUAUAAAAGGAGCACCUUCUCAGUGCUUUCCUCAGUCUGCCUCUGGGUAGUACUCGGUGCAGGCUGAUUUUUUUUUCAUAUUUUUUUUGUAUUGGAAAUUUUUUUUUUUGGUUUGGGAUCCUCAUCGCCGGCAACAGAGAUAUAUUCCUGUUCGUCCGACGAAUGUAAGUCCUCCACACUGUGGAGAGAAUUACUUGGGGUGUUACACACAUAGAUUGUGUUUGAUAUGAGGAUUGAGGUGGAAGUGUCUAUAAGACAUCCUCUUGACUCCUGCUGCUCACCCAGUGCAGGAUGAUUUUUUUUUUUUUUUUUUUUUUUUUUUUUUUUUGGGAUCCUCAUCGCCGGCAACAGAGAUAUAUUCCUGUUCGUCCGACGAAUGUAAGUCCUCCACACUGUGGAGAGAAUUACUUGGGGUGUUACACACAUAGAUUGUGUUUGAUAUGAGGAUUGAGGUGUAAGUGUCUAUAAGACAUCCUCUUGGCUCCUGUUGGGUAUCACCCAGUGCAGGAUUUUUUUUUCAUUUAAAUAAGAUUUAAAAAAAAUUUUUUUUUUGAUUUGGGGUCCUCAUCGCCGGCAAACAGAGAUAUAUUCCUGUUUCGUCCGACGAAUGUAAUUUGUCCGCACUUAAAUUCGUUUUUGUGCGAGUCCUCCACACUGUGGAGAGAAUUACUUGGGAAAUACACACAUAGAUUGUGUUUGAGGAUUGAGGUGGAAGUGUCUGUCAGAGACUAUUGUUUUUUCAUUUAAAAAAAGAUUUUUUUUUCCAUUUUUUUUUUUGGGUUUGAGAUCCUCAUCCCCGGCGGCAGGAUAUAUUCCUGUUUCGUCUGACGAAUGUAAUUAGUCCGCACUUAAAUUCGUUUUUGUGCGAGUCCUCCACACUAUGGAGAGAAUUACUUGGGGUGUUACACACAUAGAUUGUGUUUGCAAAACGAGGAUUGAGGUGGAAGUCUAUAAGACGUCCUCAUAACCGGCGGCGGGGAUAUAUUUAUAUUUACAGUAUUUAUUCAUCAUUUUAUUGAUUGGUUUUAUAAUAUCGUGUAUAUCACCUCUAUCCAUUAAAUUACUCCACUUUCUUCUUGAAUAUAUUUUUCGCACGUGCUCCGAUAGCAUCCAAGGAGGUUGUUCUGGUGGCGUAUUGUCUCCAAGUCCAUUGGCCGCUUGACUGAAGUAGAUCUUAUUAUAUCGUCUAUUAUCUCUAUUGAAUUGUUCCACUUUCUUCCUGAAUAUAAUUUUCGCACGUGCUUCGAUAGCAUCCAAAGAGGGUUAUUCUAGUGACGUAUUGUCUCCAAGUCCAUUGGCCGCUUGACUGAAGUAGAUCUUAUUAUAUCGUCUAUUAUCUCUAUUGAAUUGUAACUUUCGCACGUGCUCCGAUAGCAUCCAAGGAGGUUGUUCUGGUGGCGUAUUGUCUCCAAGUCCAUUGGCCGCUUGACUGAAGUAGAUCUUAUUAUAUCGUCUAUUAUCUCUAUUGAAUUGUUCCACUUUCUUCCUGAAUAUAAUUUUCGCACGUGCUUCGAUAGCAUCCAAAGAGGGUUAUUCUAGUGGCGUAUUGUCUCCAAGUCCAUUGGGCGCUUGAUUGAAGUAGAUCUUAUUAUAUCGUCUAUUAUCUCUAUUGAAUUGUUACACUUUCUUCUUGAAUAUAACUUUCGCACGUGCUCCGAUAGCAUCCAAGGAGGUUGUUCUGGUGGCGUAUUGUCUCCAAGUCCAUUGGCCGCUUGACUGAAGUAGAUCUUAUUAUAUCGUCUAUUAUCUCUAUUGAAUUGUUCCACUUUCUUCCUGAAUAUAAUUUUCGCACGUGCUUCGAUAGCAUCCAAAGAGGGUUAUUCUAGUGGCGUAUUGUCUCCAAGUCCAUUGGGCGCUUGAUUGAAGUAGAUCUUAUUAUAUCGUCUAUUAUCUCUAUUGAAUUGUUACACUUUCUUCUUGAAUAUAACUUUCGCACGUGCUCCGAUAGCAUCCAAGGAGGUUGUUCUGGUGGCGUAUUGUCUCCAAGUCCGUUGGCCGCUUGACUGAAGUAUAUCUUAUUAUAUCGUCUAUUAUCGUCUAUCGUAUCCGCGUAUUGCAAGGACAGAUCACGAAGAUAUUGUUUUGGAGAGCUUUCAAUGUGGUUUCUUAUUCUAGUAGUUUUAAUGGAUGAAGUCUUAUAAAUCGUCUAUUAUCGUCUUACUAUUGAAAUUUUUCACUUUCUUCCUGGAUAUAAUUUACGCACGUAUUCCAAUGCCAUCCACGGAGGUUGAAGCCCAGGUUUUGACUACGCACCCUCGUCGUUGAUUCAUUAUUUUGGUGAUCACGAAGAUGGGGCUUUGGAGAGCUUCCAAUGUUACAUGGUUUCGUCAUUAGUUUUAUUGGCUGAAGUUAAUCUUAUAAAUCGUCUAUUAUCGUUGGUGAAGUUUUUAAAGAAAUCCGGAUGUAAAGAGGUGGAGCCUUAAUGAAGUACUUGAUGUUUUUUGGGUCGUUUGUGGAUCGCGCUCUGACUAUGACAGUCGGCAUAAGGAUAUAUUACUUUUAUGGACUGUUAUUAAUGUAUUCAUCUAAGAUUAAUGUAAAAUAUCCGUAUUUUUUUUUUAAGUUUUUAUAAUACAUAAUAUACAUAUUUCAAUUUGAUUCUUACGUUUUGAAAUCUUGUCUGUAUAUCUCUUAUUAAAAUAAAAAUGCUUUCAUCAUA